AUUGUUAAUGUUAUCUAAAGACUACAGUUUAAAGAGAGAAGCUUUUGGUAAUCGACUGUACAAUUAUCCUCUACAUGUCCAGACACUGGCCAGAUUGGAGACUGAAGUGAGAGCUGCCACCUUGUUUGUUUUCCAAGCUGUGUUACUGUUAAGUAAACAAGAGAGUGGUAAAGCUACUGAAGAUGAAUUACACCUACUUAGAUUACUCACCCCCUGAUCAAGUUAUACACAGGUAAACAGGCUAUGACAGUAAGUUCAGAAGGUUUGGAAAGUUUUGGAGGUCAAGGUUAUAUAGAGGAGACUGGGUUACCAAAUUUUCUUAGAGACGCUCAGGUAUUAACUAUAUGGGAAGGAACAACAAAUAUUCUGUCUUUAGAUGUGUUAAGAUGUAUCAGUAAAUCAAAUGGUAAGGCAUUGAUAUCUUUGAAAAAUUAUGUUGACAAUAAACUGUCCAGUACACCUUCAGAGUUAUCAAAAGAAGCAGAGAAGUUACAAAUGGCUUUGAAAUCAGUUUUGCAAUUUGUUACAAAAAAUCAGGAAAAUGUGGAUGUUUUGAGUUUUGCUGCCAGAGAUUUGUCUUAUAGUUUAUCUAGAAUAUA